UUUUUUCGAGGAAAAGAUUAAAAAAAGUACAACGCUCUCUCCCUCCUCUCCUUUGUCUUCUUUUUCACUCUCUCUCUUAAACAUUUCUAGUUCUCUCUCCUGAAUUUUCAAACCUAAAACAUUAGGGUUCUACAAUAUUUCGCACUCGAAUUCCACACAAACAGUUGUAAAUCAGUCGCAGAAGAUCUUGCAUAGAGAUUCUCUGGUAUGUAUUCUAACAAAUGAUACCCCUUUUGCUGUGAGUGGAAGGAAUUUUCUAGGUCCAUCGGGGAGGUUUGGAUUUGAUUUUCAGUUCAACGGAAGGUUUGUUUUCUGAUAUCCUUUCUUUGUUUGGUGAUUCAAUUUUGCUUUUGUCGUUUAUGAGUGUUAUUUCCUGCGUGGAUUUGUGUGACGUUUAGCUGACUUUGAGCUCAUCUUUGGCCCGUAUAUAUCUCUUUAUCUUGAACUGAUUGAUCUAUAUUCAAUUUUUGCUGGUCCACUUAUUUUGUGCCCAUUUCUGGGUUUGAUUUCUUUUGAUUGUUGUUAUCAUUUUAUGGUACUUUUAGUUUAUUCCGUAGUGGUUGUCUCAACUGGAUCUGUUCAUUGGAAUCAUCGAAAAGUUGUGAUUUGAUGAACCCUAAUUUAUGGCAUUGGAAUUGGUGCUAAAGAUUAGAGUACGUGGCUUUCAUUCUCAAUGUUAUAAUUGAGUUUUCCUAAUGGGUUUUGAUUCAAUUUUUGAGCCAUUGACACAUCUUUAUUUGUACCUUGUUAAAAGUUAGAUCUAUUAGCGUUUUUCACCCAAAUAAAACCCUAAAUCUGGUUUACCUUGCACGGUUAAUUUUGCACCUCAUUUUGCCGUCAGUUUGGUGCAUUUGUCUUUAUAUUUGUUGUACCAUAUGCGUAUAAUUUUUUUUACCAAGAUAGAUCUAUUAACAAUUUUUACCUAGAGGAAAACCUAAAGUUGCUUUACCUUCUCACUGUUAAUUUCGUGUCUUCCUUCGCUGUCUAUUUGGUGCAUUUGGCUGUAUAUUUAUUGUAUUGCAUGCGUACAACAAUAUUUUAUGCAAUCCAGCUUUGUCUUUGUCGUCACUUUAAACUAGGGUUUUGAUCAUAUUUGAGUUGCACCACCAAUUGGUACUGUCAAUUUUAAUUGAGUCGUGCUGUUCUCGUGCUCUCUCAUAUAAAUUGUAUCCAUUUAUGUUAAUUUUUGCAAUUGUGUACAUAUAAUAUCUUUUAAAUUUAUGUAAUUUUAUUGGAUUUGAUAGCAUUCACUAUGAACAUUCAAAUAUAUCCAUGUUUGGUUCCUUUAACAUGUCUGAAGUUUCUCUUUGAACUUUAGGAGAGUAGGCAUUGUAUAUAUGGACUGGAAAUCCUAAUUUAUGCACAUAUAUGAUCAAUUAUUUCAUUCUUUUGUUUUAGGCCUUAUAUCUGAAAUGGACAAGAGUAUUGCGGUUCUUGAAGAAAAUCGCGGGAGGAACAACUCUUCUGCUUCCGCAUCAAAUUCUUUUGGAUCAUUUGUUCAGAUUAACUCAAUAGCUGUAGACCUCAGUAUUCCUGUGGAAGAAAUUGAGAUACCAGCACACGGGCAUUUUUCAAUACGGUGAGCAUUUCAUUUAGACUUCCAACAUCUUGUACCACCCAUUUAAUUCAUUUCAACCUUGAUUGUUUUGGUUAUUUUAAUUUUUUUCCUAGUUAGUGCCCG
rnacentral:lncRNA from 1 species